rnacentral:rRNA from 1 species
UACAGAGGUCUCAAGCGUUGUUCGGAUUCAUUGGGCGUAAAGGGUGCGUAGGCGGCGCGGUAAGUCGGGUGUGAAAUCUCGGGGCUUAACUCCGAAACUGCAUUCGAUACUGCGGUGCUUGAGGACUGGAGAGGAGACUGGAAUUCACGGUGUAGCAGUGAAAUGCGUAGAUAUCGUGAGGAAGACCAGUGGCGAAGGCGGGUCUCUGGACAGUUCCUGACACUGAGGCACGAAGGCCAGGGGGAGCAAACGGG